rnacentral:tRNA from 1 species
GGAGAUGUAGCUCAGUGGUAGAGCACUUGUCUAGCAUGCAGAGGCUCUGGGUUUGAUGCCCAGCAUCACAU